AGCGAACGCUGGCGGCAGGCCUAACACAUGCAAGUCGAACGAACCUUUCGGGGUUUGUGGCGGACGGGUGAGUCACCCGUGGGAACGUGCCUUUAGGUUCGGAAUACCUCAGGGAAACUUGUGCUACUACCAAAUGUGCCCUUCGGGGGAAAGAUUAAUCGCCGUUAGAGCGGCCCGCGUCUGAUUAGCUAGUUGGUUGAGGUAAUGGCUCACCACGGCGACGAUCUGUAGCUGGUCUGAGAGGAUGAUCCGCCACAUUGGGACUGAGACACGGCCCAAACUCCUACGGGAGGGAGCAGGAGGGAAUCGUGCGCAAGGGGCGAAAGCCUGACGCAGCCAGGCCGGGGAAAUGAUGAAGGUCGUAGGAUAGUAAAAUUCUUUCAACGGGGACGAUAAUGACGGUACCCGGAGAAGAAGCCCCGGCUAACUACGUG
rnacentral:rRNA from 1 species